CCUACGGGAGGCAGCAGUGAGGAAUAUUGGUCAAUGGGCGCGAGCCUGAACCAGCCAAGUCGCGUGAAGGAUGACUGUCCAGCGGAUUGUAAACUUCUUUUGUAAAGGAAUAAAGUGAGGCACGUGUGCCCUUUUGUAUGUACUUUAUGAAUAAGCAUCGGCUAACUCCGUGCCAGCAGCCGUGGUAAUACGGAGGAUCCGAGCGUUAUCCGGAUUUAUUGGGUUUAAAGGGAGCGUAGAUGGUUUGUUAAGUCAGUUGUGAAAGUUUGCGGCUCAACCGUAAAAUGGCAAUUGAAACUGGCAGGCUUGAGUACAGGUGAGGUAGGCGGAAUUCGUGGUGUAGCGGUGAAAUGCUUAGAUAUCACGAAGAACUCCGAUUGCGAAGGCAGCUUACUAAAUUGACACUGACAUUGAUGCUCGAAAGUGUGGGUAUCAAACAGGAUUAGAUACCCCGGUAGUC
rnacentral:rRNA from 1 species